UUAGCAAUUGAUGUAAUUUUUACAAUAAAUUUUACAACAACGCACUGUAUUCAUGUUUUUGUUGUAAAUCCAAAUGCAUGAUGGGAAAUUAACGGACAGUCCUGUAAAAUUAUUGUAACUACACUGUAGAAGCAUUUUUUUACAGCAACCGCAUAGCAUUGUGGGAUCGCUGCUGUUUGAAUUUUGAAAUUACGCGGCCAACGGACGGUACCAGAAGUAUUUUAACAUUUUUUUGGAAGAAAGAACAUGUCUCAGGAGAGGCACUAAGUGCAGACAAAUGGAUGAUGUCUUUGGAAGGGACAACUGUGAUGGGGCCCCACAACAACCUUCUGAAUGGAGUGCAGCGACCUUCGCUGUCUACGUGUCUAACUAACAGUAUCCUAAAGAGGCCUCAAGCACUAAAGAGCUUUUUGUGGAAUCGAUUCCAAGAUGUCAGCAAAGCAGUGAAGAGACGGGGGAUCAACGCACCUGUCUGCACCUUAUUAAGAAGACUCCUGGGCUUUGAGUUGAUGG